GGUUCCAUGGUCUAGGUGGUUAUGACAUCAGCUUUACACGUUGAGGGUCACCGGUUCGAAUCCGGUUGGAGCCA